AUCCACACGGGUCUCCAACACGGCGUGAUCAGACAUGCCCAGCCGAACUGCCUCCCGUUGGAUGAAGUCACGCUCCCGCAGAAACUUAAGGAAAGUGGAUACGCCACCAACAUGGUCGGUAAAUGGCAUAUCGGCUUCUACUUGGAUGCUUGCACGCCCACCGAAAGGGGCUUCGAUUCUUUCUUUGGGUUCCUGGUAGGAGGUGAGGACCACUACACGCACUCGGGCCACUGCGAGGUCUACAAUGCAGACGAUGGCAGUACCAAGACCCUAUCAGGACACGACCUACACGCGAACAAGACACCGUCUUCGAUUACGAAGGACAGUAUUCCACCCAUCUCUUCACGAAUAAAACAAUUGAUGCCAUAGAGAAGCAUGACAAGACAAAGCCACUCUUCAUGUACCUGGCAUAUCAAGCUGUACACCUACCUUUGCAAGUACCUGACAGAUACAUGGACCCAUACAAGAACAUCGCCGACGAAAACAGACGUACCUAUGCUGGUAUGGUAUCUUGUAUGGAUGAAGGUAUAGGAAACGUCACAAGAGCUCUCAAGGACGCUGGUCUUUACGAUAAUACCAUCAUAAUAUUCUCAACAGAUAACGGUGGUCCAAUCCAAAGCGGUGCCAACAAUUGGCCACUACGGGGAAGCAAAGGAAACAUGUGGGAAGGAGGGAUUCAUGGAGUAGGGUUCGUACACAGUCCGCUUCUACCAACAUCAGUCAAAGGAACGGUCAAUCAUGACUUGAUGCAUGUGAGCGACUGGCUACCGACUAUUGUAGCAGGUAUUGCAGGUGGAGCGUUGAAUGGAACCAAACCCUUGGACGGCUUCGAUGUGUGGAACUCUAUCAGUGGUACAGCUUCGUCCCCUCGAACAGAAAUCUUGCACAAUAUCGACCUGAAGAAAAGCAACCUGCGAACGAGAAAUUUGAUACAUCAAUAAGAGCUGCGCUACGCGUUGGAGACUGGAAAAUAAAGACGGGCGCAGACUAUGACGUAACGACACACAACGUGUGGAUGCCGCCACCCGAAUCCGGACUCGACACGAUAUACCCGACAGAGAAACCGAACCAAAAGGUAUGGCUCUUCAACAUAACCGCCGACCCUCUGGAGCAAACCGAUCUUUCGGAAAAGUAUCCGGAUGUGGUCAACGAGCUUGUACAGAAAUUAGAGGAGUAUUACGAAGGUUCGGUUCCCAUGCGGUAUCCGGAUGAGGAUUUGGAAGCGGAUCCGGCUUUGCGUGGUGGUUCAUGGGGGCCAUGGAAGUAAAUCCAUAGCAAAUUUAGGCUGAAACUGCUUCAAUCGAUAGUGGUUCUUUUAGGACCCCCUCUCCUGAUAUAUAUAUAUAUAAUUAGAUACAUAACAUUCUUAAAAAUUUACACUGCAUGCAAAUGCCAGAUAAAGGGGGCAAAUGGGACACGUGCCCCCCCCCCCCCCCCCCCCCCCCACACACACACACACACUUCACCAAACAAUUGGGAAAUAUGGUAAGCAGACAAUGAGAAGAAGAAAACAAAAAAUAUGGGGAUGGAGAAAAGGAAUGCACAGAAAAGGACAGAUAAAAUGGGAAAGUAAACAGGAAGAAGACAAAUAUGAAGCAAGGGCUUAUUUAAUUGAUUUGUCAGAUAAUUUCGUAGCAAAAUGGCACUCCAAAAUCCAGAUGACAUUUCGAAAUUUCCCUCCGCCCCGUGCCACGAAAUCUUAGGUCAACUAAUGCAUCUUGCGGUAACUACCCCCCUAUUUAAACACAUCGGCUAACAAGACCGACAACAAGUAAUAUUACAUUACAACAAGUAUUACCCCUGUCUACAACAAAUAACAAAGUUAGUUGUUAUUAACAACGCCAAAUUAAUCUAAUUGACCUAGACAUCACAGAAGAGUCUGUUAAAAAGAAGAGUUAAAAAUGGAAUUUCAUUUAUAACUAUUAUUUAAUUUUCAAAAUUAUUGUAAGGUUUGAUUAGAACAUACUAUGAGUACUUUCUACACUCAGUUUAAACUAGAAAUAAGAGGAGAAAUGUAAUUAUUGCAGAUAUCUAAGUAUUGCUAGCUUGUUCCCUGUUCAAACAAAGUUUCUUGAGUUGUUUAUGUUCCACCAGAGAGUUUAAAUCAUGAGCAACUUGUUCUUUCUUUCUAAUGACAGAAUUAUUUGAAUCUACGACAGGUUUGUUUGAACAUAUGCAAUGAUUGUACACUCAUACUGAUAUGAAAUUUACAAUACUCUUGUAUUUGGAAGAACGUGUGUUUCCUGAACUAAAAAAAAAAAAUCUGAAGUUGUUCCAAUUCACAAGAAAUGAGAUGAAUGGAGGUAUUGCCUUACAAACUAGAAGACAGUUAUAUAUAUAUAAUACAAAUUAAUGCAGAAUUAUUUGUAGAAAAAAAUUGGUGUAAAUAUAUUAAUGGUUUCUACAUUUCGUUUUUAAACACGGUAAUUCGACAAAUAUGGCUCCUCUUAAAUUUAAAAUUAAGAUACCAAAUGUUUAUUUCAGACCUCUUUCAAUAUAAUAGUCAAAUUCAAAAUUAUAAUACCCGAUUUUGCAACAAAUUCCAUUUAUGGUCUGUUAAGUCUAGUUAUAAAGCUAAAUCAAUAAGUUAUCUAGGUCCUAAACAGUGGAAUAUGAUUCCCCAAGUAAUAACGAAAUCACAAUUCACAUCUUCCUUUAGAAAACAUAUAAAAUCUUAUUACUAAAUAGUUAUUAAUCAUCACAGUUGUUCAUUUUGUUUUAUCUGAACCCCUUUCAUUGUUGUUUUUUAUUGCCCCCUUUAUAUAUAUAUAUAUUGUUUUCUUCUAUUUCACUUUCUCACGUAUUAUAGAUAGUUAAAGUGUCUGUACUUUGCUUAUUUUACUUAAUUUAUUGUUGUGUGCUAAUAAUGUUUUGUAUUUCCUUUCCCCCCUUUAUAUAUAUAUUUGUUUUUACUUCACUUUCUCUCGUAUUAAAGACAGUUGAAGUGUUUUUACUUUGCUUAUUUUACUUAAUGUUUUGUUGUGUGCUUUUAAUAUUUUGUAUUUCUAUUAUUGAUGAUCCAAUUUUACAGGUUUUUGCAACCUUCACGGAAAGCCCCGCAUAUAACCUUUGUAAAUGUAUUCAAAUUUACUGUUACCUUGUAUACUUUGAUUUUAUAUAUUGCGAAAUAAAAUUAAUUGAAUUGAAUUGAA